rnacentral:rRNA from 1 species
AGUGAACGCUGGCGGUAGGCCUAACACAUGCAAGUCGAACGGCAGCACAGAGGAGCUUGCUCCUUGGGUGGCGAGUGGCGGACGGGUGAGGAAUACAUCGGAAUCUACUCUGUCGUGGGGGAUAACGUAGGGAAACUUACGCUAAUACCGCAUACGACCUACGGGUGAAAGCAGGGGAUCUUCGGACCUUGCGCGAUUGAAUGAGCCGAUGUCGGAUUAGCUAGUUGGCGGGGUAAAGGCCCACCAAGGCGACGAUCCGUAGCUGGUCUGAGAGGAUGAUCAACCACACUGGAACUGAGACACGGUCCAGACUCCUACGGGAGGCAGCAGUGGGGAAUAUUGGACAAUGGGCGCAAGCCUGAUCCAGCCAUACCGCGUGGGUGAAGAAGGCCUUCGGGUUGUAAAGCCCUUUUGUUGGGAAAGAAAUCCAUUUGGUUAAUACCCGGGUGGGAUGACGGUACCCAAAGAAUAAGCACCGGCUAACUUCGUGCCAGCCGCCGCAGUAAAAC